AUUGAACGCUGGCGGCAGGCCUAACACAUGCAAGUCGAAUGGUAACAGGAAACAGCUUGCUGUUUCGCUGACGAGUGGCGGACGGGUGAGUAAUGUCUGGGAAACUGCCUGAUGGAGGGGGAUAACUACUGGAAACGGUAGCUAAUACCGCAUAGCGUCGCAAGACCAAAGAGGGGGACCUUCGGGCCUCUUGCCAUCAGAUGUGCCCAGAUGGGAUUAGCUAGUAGGUGGGGUAACGGCUCACCUAGGCGACGAUCCCUAGCUGGUCUGAGAGGAUGACCAGCCACACUGGAACUGAGACACGGUCCAGACUCCUACGGGAGGCAGCAGUGGGGAAUAUUGCACAAUGGGCGCAAGCCUGAUGCAGCCAUGCCGCGUGUAUGAAGAAGGCCUUCGGGUUGUAAAGUACUUUCAGCGGGGAGGAAGGGAGUAAAGUUAAUACCUUUGCUCAUUGACGUUACCCGCAGAAGAAGCACCGGCUAACUCCGUG
rnacentral:rRNA from 1 species